rnacentral:tRNA from 1 species
GCCUGGAUAGCUCAGUCGGUGAAGCAUCUGACUUCGGCUCAGGUCAUGAACUCGUGGUUUGUGGGUUCGAGCCCCUCAUCGGGCU